CCUACGGGGGGCUGCAGUGGGGAAUAUUGGACAAUGGGGGCAACCCUGAUCCAGCCAUGCCGCGUGUGUGAAGAAGGCCUUUUGGUUGUAAAGCACUUUAAGCAGGGAGGAGAGGCUAAUGGUUAAUACCCAUUAGAUUAGACGUUACCUGCAGAAUAAGCACCGGCUAACUCUGUGCCAGCAGCCGCGGUAAUACAGAGGGUGCGAGCGUUAAUCGGAAUUACUGGGCGUAAAGCGAGUGUAGGUGGCUCAUUAAGUCACAUGUGAAAUCCCCGGGCUUAACCUGGGAACUGCAUGUGAUACUGGUGGUGCUAGAAUAUGUGAGAGGGAAGUAGAAUUCCAGGUGUAGCGGUGAAAUGCGUAGAGAUCUGGAGGAAUACCGAUGGCGAAGGCAGCUUCCUGGCAUAAUAUUGACACUGAGAUUCGAAAGCGUGGGUAGCAAACAGGAUUAGAUACCCGAGUAGUC
rnacentral:rRNA from 1 species